AACCGCCGUAUACCGGUCGGUACGUACGGUGGUGUGAGAGGACAGAAAGCCGGUAUGACCGGCUUUCUUCCUACUCGAU
rnacentral:misc_RNA from 1 species